GGAGUAAAGUUGAGGUUAGGAAGAGGAAAGAAAGAGAGAGUUCUGACUCUGAAGAGGAUGUCGAAGACGAUGUCCCAGACAUCUCCCCUGCUAAAAAGUAGGUUGUUAAGAAGUCUCCAGGCAAAGUGGUUGUUGUGCACUUAGACAAUAUCUCCUGUCAUUUAGAAGAUGGUGCUGCAAAAUGGAAGUUUGUCAUUCAGAGGAGGGUAGCUGUUGAAAGAGAGCUGGGAAAAGAGGCUGUUGAGAUAAA
rnacentral:lncRNA from 1 species